GGAGCAAUCCUGGUGGCGAGUGGCGAACGGGUGAGUAAUGUAUCGGAACGUACCUUUCAGUGGGGGAUAACGUAGCGAAAGUUACGCUAAUACCGCAUAUUCUGUGCGCAGGAAAGCAGGGGAUCGCAAGACCUUGCGCUGAUUGAGCGGCCGAUAUCAGAUUAGCUAGUUGGUGAGGUAAAGGCUCACCAAGGCGACGAUCUGUAGCGGGUCUGAGAGGAUGAUCCGCCACACUGGAACUGAGACACGGUCCAGACUCCUACGGGAGGCAGCAGUGGGGAAUUUUGGACAAUGGGGGCAACCCUGAUCCAGCCAUGCCGCGUGAGUGAAGAAGGCCUUCGGGUUGUAAAGCUCUUUCGGCCGGGAAAAUCGCAUGGGUUAAUACCCUGUGCGGAUGACGGUACCGGCAUAAGAAGCACCGGCUAACUACGUGCCAGCAGCCGCGGUAAUACGUAGGGUGCGAGCGUUAAUCGGAAUUACUGGGCGUAAAGCGUGCGCAGGCGGUUUUGUAAGACAGGCGUGAAAUCCCCGGGCUCAACCUGGGAACUGCGCUUGUGACUGCAAGGCUAGAGUAUGGCAGAGGGGGGUGGAAUUCCACGUGUAGCAGUGAAAUGCGUAGAGAUGUGGAGGAACACCAAUGGCGAAGGCAGCCCCCUGGGCCAAUACUGACGCUCAUGCACGAAAGCGUGGGUAGCAAACAGGAUUAGAUACCCUGGUAGUCCACGCCCUAAACGAUGUCAACUAGGUGUUGGGUGGGUAAAACCAUUUAGUACCGGAGCUAACGCGUGAAGUUGACCGCCUGGGGAGUACGGCCGCAAGGUUAAGACUCAAAGGAAUUGACGGGGACCCGCACAAGCGGUGGAUGAUGUGGAUUAAUUCGAUGCAACGCGAAAAACCUUACCUACCCUUGACAUGUCCAGGAGCCUGAAGAGAUUUGGGUGUGCCCGAAAGGGAACUGGAACACAGGUGCUGCAUGGCUGUCGUCAGCUCGUGUCGUGAGAUGUUGGGUUAAGUCCCGCAACGAGCGCAACCCUUGUCGUUAAUUGCCAUCAUUCAGUUGGGCACUUUAACGAGACUGCCGGUGACAAACCGGAGGAAGGUGGGGAUGACGUCAAGUCCUCAUGGCCCUUAUGGGUAGGGCUUCACACGUCAUACAAUGGUCGGUACGAAGGGUCGCCAACCCGCGAGGGGGAGCCAAUCCCAGAAAGCCGAUCGUAGUCCGGAUCGUAGGCUGCAACUCGCCUGCGUGAAGUCGGAAUCGCUAGUAAUCGUGGAUCAGCAUGUCACGGUGAAUACGUUCCCGGGUCUUGUACACACCGCCCGUCACACCAUGGGAGCGGGUUCCGCCAGAAGUAGGUAGCCUAACCGCAAGGGGGGCGCUUACCACGGCGGGGUUCGUGACUGGGGUGAAGUCGUAACAAGGUA
rnacentral:rRNA from 1 species